rnacentral:rRNA from 1 species
GACGAACGUUGGCGGCGUGCUUAACACAUGCAAGUCGAACGGAAAGGCCCUGCUUUUGUGGGGUGCUCGAGUGGCGAACGGGUGAGUAACACGUGAGUAACCUGCCCUUGACUUUGGGAUAACUUCAGGAAACUGGGGCUAAUACCGGAUAGGAGCUCCUGCUGCAUGGUGGGGGUUGGAAAGUUUCGGCGGUUGGGGAUGGACUCGCGGCUUAUCAGCUUGUUGGUGGGGUAGUGGCUUACCAAGGCUUUGACGGGUAGCCGGCCUGAGAGGGUGACCGGCCACAUUGGGACUGAGAUACGGCCCAGACUCCUACGGGAGGCAGCAGUGGGGAAUAUUGCACAAUGGGCGAAAGCCUGAUGCAGCAACGCCGCGUGCGGGAUGACGGCCUUCGGGUUGUAAACCGCUUUCGCCUGUGACGAAGCGUGAGUGACGGUAAUGGGUAAAGAAGCACCGGCUAACUACGUGCCAGCAGCCGCGGUGAUACGUAGGGUGCGAGCGUUGUCCGGAUUUAUUGGGCGUAAAGGGCUCGUAGGUGGUUGAUCGCGUCGGAAGUGUAAUCUUGGGGCUUAACCCUGAGCGUGCUUUCGAUACGGGUUGACUUGAGGAAGGUAGGGGAGAAUGGAAUUCCUGGUGGAGCGGUGGAAUGCGCAGAUAUCAGGAGGAACACCAGUGGCGAAGGCGGUUCUCUGGGCCUUUCCUGACGCUGAGGAGCGAAAGCGUGGGGAGCGAACAGGCUUAGAUACCCUGGUAGUCCACGCUGUAAACGGUGGGUACUAGGUGUGGGGUCCAUUCCACGGGUUCCGUGCCGUAGCUAACGCUUUAAGUACCCCGCCUGGGGAGUACGGCCGCAAGGCUAAAACUCAAAGGAAUUGACGGGGCCCCGCACAAGCGGCGGAGCAUGCGGAUUAAUUCGAUGCAACGCGUAGAACCUUACCUGGGUUUGACAUGGAUCGGGAGUGCUCAGAGAUGGGUGUGCCUCUUUUGGGGUCGGUUCACAGGUGGUGCAUGGCUGUCGUCAGCUCGUGUCGUGAGAUGUUGGGUUAAGUCCCGCAACGAGCGCAACCCUUGUUCACUGUUGCCAGCACGUUAUGGUGGGGACUCAGUGGAGACCGCCGGGGUCAACUCGGAGGAAGGUGGGGAUGACGUCAAGUCAUCAUGCCCCUUAUGUCCAGGGCUUCACGCAUGCUACAAUGGCUGGUACAGAGAGUGGCGAGCCUGUGAGGGUGAGCGAAUCUCGGAAAGCCGGUCUCAGUUCGGAUUGGGGUCUGCAACUCGACCUCAUGAAGUCGGAGUCGCUAGUAAUCGCAGAUCAGCAACGCUGCGGUGAAUACGUUCCCGGG